CAGUAGCCACGGUAAUACGUAGGGUGCGAGCGUUAAUUGGAAUUACUGGGCGUAAAGCGUGCGCAGGCGGUUUUGUAAGACAGAGGUGAAAUCCCCGGGCUCAACCUGGGAACUGCCUUUGUGACUGCAAGGCUAGAGUACGGCAGAGGGGGAUGGAAUUCCGCGUGUAGCAGUGAAAUGCGUAGAUAUGCGGAGGAACACCGAUGGCGAAGGCAAUCCCCUGGGCCUGUACUGACGCUCAUGCACGAAAGCGUGGGGAGCAAACAGGAUUAGAUACCCCGGUAGUCCCUGUCUCUUAUAC
rnacentral:rRNA from 1 species